GCACGUCAAUUGCGCCGCGUGCCUUCUGUGGUCGGCGUAACCAGAUGAGGUGUAAACGUAUGCACGUUCGCCUUCACAGGAAGUGGGUGUCCCUCUUCUCCCCAUUGGCUCCGGCAUCGCACCGCCCCGAGGCAACGUCACCACGUGCUGUUGUAUAAGAAGGCUAUGGCAUUGUUCUGCCGUGGAAAGAACGCCGCCGAAGAGUCAUCGCGCGCUUCUGCAAUUUCUCGGCGCCCGACAGUUGGGCCUGCUCGCCUCGCCGUUUCCAUGCUGCGUCCGUCAAGGAGCGUCUCUCGCGGGCUUGGCACCCAACCCGUACUGUGACGACAGCUCGGUGCCCUCGUUUCGCCGAAUGCAUGCGUUAUGCCACGCAGCAAUAACCAUCAUCCAUCAACCUCAAAGGAGAUUGCAACAACCUUAAUUGGUCUGUAUACAACACCAAGGUUCGCGGUGGCCCUGCCGUGUUUGGCGGCAUGGCAACAAUCAGCCGCGAAUUAUUGCUCUCAUGGACAAUUCCUUAGCGCUCGUGGCGAAGGCAACAGGUGUGGCGCUUGCGCGGGGCCCCCUUUGCCGUACGUUUGUCGACAUUGUGUUUGCCGUGUGAUUUUUGUUUCUUUUGAUUCUAACGCAGGUUCGCAGCCGUCUACCAAAAGUGCCAGAAAAGACAGCUUCCUUGGUGCGAGAACAUAACCGUAGUAUGGGAUCAGCAACGACGUCGCCACCAUGAUGAAUGCUACACGUGCACUGCACUGGCAUGCAGGGAAGUGGUGACUCUCCGCCACGCAGCUCAGGUUAUCUGUUUGAGUUGGCACUUAUGUCACACAGUGCGAAAUAAUUUAAGGAUUCUUCUGAGAGGUGCAAUUCAAGGAUGAAAUCAAUUGCCAACGCUGUCGAUUAUCUAUGAUUGGUCAGUUGAGACGCUUCGAGUCUGAGACGUAAACCCGAUUGACAAUUUUAGUUCUUUAAAGGCCGCCGUAAGGACAAAGAGCGCUCAAAUAAAGCACAGGACAGACGACAGGACUGUGCUGUUUACCGUUAUGUUGGUUACGCACUCAUUGGCCCAAGUGCUGUUUUAAAGGCUGGAGGUUGUAAUUUUAUAAAAUUACGCACGGAAUUAUUGAAGACUGCGAGAAAGAUAGAUUACGGAUCAGAUCUGCGAACUGGUAAAUCUUACAGGUUUACAUUUUUCGCGCUUAUACAUUACCACGAUAAAAUAUACUUUGUGUCAUUUACGUGCUUCAUUUACCUACGUGUCGUUUGUACCUGGAAUAGCCACCUACUUGCCUGCCCUAACGUCUCUACCGAGGCACGAUAGAGGUUUGCUGUGCCCAGUUCAUUUGUAACGCUUUCUGUUUGCGCCGGGCAACGCAAUUUCUUGUCUAUGGUACAUUCGCGAAAGGCAAACAGAACACAAAUAACUCCGUCCACUCAUUCCUCCUUUGUCCCGCGAGUGCUUCACACUUGCCUCCAGAGGCGUAACGAAUCAUUUUUUUUUCUUCAGUUGCAUUGGCUGACUGUAAUCAACCGGUGGAAGGUCAGCGACACUACAAAUUAGUUCGAACGGCCUCCUCAAUGUCUCACGUUUCUCUCUUAUUUCCACAUGUGAUUUUUUUUUUUUUAUUUCUUUUUCCACAGGCACGUCUGGCGUACGUACGCAUUUCGCCCUUCUCUCAGUUCAUGCCGUGAACUUCAAGCUGCAGCCUCGCGCUUCUGGAGUGGCUCGAGCUGAGCCUAAGCCAGGUGGUGGGAAGGCACGACGCGAUUCGCCGCGCCUGCACGCACCAGGCACCCUGACGAGCAGUCGCUGGCCAUGUCACAAGAGUGGCGUUCGCUUUCUUGUGCGUGUGACAGCGGCUAUUGGAGAGUGCCCUCAGCUUCGCGAGAGACUUCAGCGGCGCCACCGCCACCCUUGCCUUGGCAAGCUGUCUCACUGAUGCCCACGUGUGACAACCCUCGCACUGCCGCUAUCAUCCUUUGUGUUGGCCUUAUGUGCAGCCUUCGUCAGAAAAAGUGGAGCCACUAUGACUCUAAACUCUGAAAAACCUGCAUGCCCUUUUGGAUGUAUUUUUGCAACAGAACGGUUAUUGGGAUUCAA